rnacentral:rRNA from 1 species
AUUGAACGUUGGCGGCAUGCCUUACACAUGCAAGUCGAACGGUAACAGGGAGCUUGCUCCGCUGACGAGUGGCGAACGGGUGAGUAAUGUAUCGGAACGUACCAUUCAGUGGGGGAUAACGUAGCGAAAGUUACGCUAAUACCGCAUAUUCUGUGAGCAGGAAAGCAGGGGAUCGCAAGACCUUGCGCUGAUUGAGCGGCCGAUAUCAGAUUAGCUAGUUGGUGAGGUAAAGGCUCACCAAGGCGACGAUCUGUAGCGGGUCUGAGAGGAUGAUCCGCCACACUGGAACUGAGACACGGUCCAGACUCCUACGGGAGGCAGCAGUGGGGAAUUUUGGACAAUGGGGGCAACCCUGAUCCAGCCAUGCCGCGUGAGUGAAGAAGGCCUUCGGGUUGUAAAGCUCUUUCGGCCGGGAAAAAAUCGCAUCAGUUAAUACCUGGUGUGGAUGAUGGUACCGGAAUAAGAAGCACCGGCUAACUACGUG